GACGAACGCUGGCGGCGUGCUUAACACAUGCAAGUCGAACGGAAAGGCCCUGCUUUUGUGGGGUGCUCGAGUGGCGAACGGGUGAGUAACACGUGAGUAACCUGCCCUUGACUUUGGGAUAACUUCAGGAAACUUGGGCUAAUACCGGAUAGGAGCUCCUGCUGCAUGGUGGGGGUUGGAAAGUUUCGGCGGUUGGGGAUGGACUCGCGGCUUAUCAGCUUGUUGGUGGGGUAGUGGCUUACCAAGGCUUUGACGGGUAGCCGGCCUGUGAAGGUGACCGGGAAAAUUGGGACGGAGAGACGGCGCAGAAUAGAAGGGGAGGCAGCAGUGGGGAAUAGUGAACAAUGGGAGGAAGCCUGAUGCAGAAACGCCGCGUGCGGGAUGACGGCCUUCGGGUUGUAAACCGAUUUCGCCUGUGACGAAGCGUGAGUGACGGUAAUGGGUAAAGAAGCACCGGCUAACUACGUG
rnacentral:rRNA from 1 species